GAAGCCUUGCUGCGGCGGCCGGGGGAGGCCUGUUGUGCAGUGGAGCCUCGAGUGCCGUGCAGUGGCUUUCGUCUGUAGGGUUCCAGGAAAUGCAAAGUGAAAGGCCUUCCUUCGAAGCUGCGAUGGAAAUUGCCCGGUGAUUUUCGCCUGGGUUGCUGGGGAGGGCCUCACCCAGGAUUAACUUUCUCCAUCUGCAUAAAAGCCGUCUAGGGAAGUCCAACUGGAGGCUUUAAGAGAAAAGGUGGUGUUCCCCCAGAAGGAAGCAUUCCACCUCCAGCUUGAACUACUGUGUCACCUGUCUCCUGACUCCCCAGAUGUUGGACCCCACUAUGGUGAGAUGCUUCUGAACAGGCCCUUUGCUGCCUAGAGCCCACGGAGAGGAGUGGACAGAGCACAUCUGAGCUUCCUGCUGGUUUCCCAAGACGGAGAGCACAGACAUGGUUGCUGAUUUUUGAUAACAGGAAGAGAGUUCACUGGCUCAGAUGUGCCCAGAGGUUUGCAGCGAGCCUGUGUCCACCUCCUCAGUCCUGACUGCUCAUUCCAAGACCCUCAAGGAUGUGAUCUGCUUUGGAGGGGUACUGCCUCGCUGACUCUCUGUCCCCACUCCCCAUCUGCUCAUGGUCAUGCAGCAUCAGGCAAACAGCCUAGCCAACUUGGCAGCUUUCCAAAAACAAAUGUGGGUCUGCAGGAGCCUGGAUAGGGAUGGACCAGAACCCCUGAGGUCCUGCUUAGGGCAUGAAAACUGGGGGCACACAGCCCAGCUCAUGGAAUUGCUUCUUCCAGCAAGAACUGUGGAGGGCUGGAGCCCUGUCCGCGGGAAGCUGACUGAACAACUCGCCUCUUUCCAGAAGAUAAAGAGAGUCCCACUGAUGAUGAUGGCAGCUGACAAAAGGGUGCGCAGGAUCAGGGCUCUGCUGAGGAUCGUGUCCUUGAUGCUCCGAGGAGGCUGCCGCAGUGUGUCUUUGUCAACUGGCUCCACCCCCAGGCUGCUCAAAACAAGACGAGAGAUGCUGAAAUAAGCCACCAAAAGGGGUUAUUUCAAAAAGAAGCAUAGAGGGGACAACCUAGAGCAGAGGGCCACUGAAGUCACCAUGGAAGGCUCAAUGAGGAUGGGGUGUUGGCCAGCAGCCUACAGGUUGUCCCUGGCUCAUGGGGAUACCCCUUACUCAGCCCCUUGGUGCCUCCUGGAAGAUCCCUACUGUUGGACCCCUUGGGCAGGGGCACAUCUCCCCCACCCUCUUAUGUCACCUUCACAUACCCUUGACAUGAACACAGGAGGGCAAACCACUCCCAAGGUUGACACCCCUGGUCGUCCUGGAGCCACCCCCCAUCACUCUUCAUGCCCAGGCAGUUUCCAUCACCAUGGGGAACCCCACAUGUUGGGCAAUGUUCAUCCCAGCUGGUGGAGAAAAACAGGAUCCAAACCCUGUUCACCCCCAAACCCACUGUUGUCUGAGGGGACACCGCCUUUGAUAACCUUGGAAACAGCAGGAGUUAAUGUGGAAGCACAGAGGAGGGCAGGACAGUGAGCACCCACUCCGUGCAGGUCAACUGAGGUACAGCCAGGGGCUGCAUGAGGCGGUAGCCUUCAAUGCACAUGGGGGGCUAAGUGGGGCCCUCAUUCCCUUGUCUACUGUCACUGGCCAUGACUAGUGAAAAUCAGCCACAUGUGGAACAACACCCACUGUGUGCUCCAACAUGGUGAAGUGACUGCUGGGCCUCGCAGCCUCACUGCCUGAUUCUCUUUCAUUCAGCUAGCCUUAUGCUCCCUUCUUAUUCUUUCAGCCAGUAGUUUGCCUAGCACCCUUGUAGGAGCCCACUGGGACCAUCACCAGUUCCUUGCCUCCUCGAAGGUGAUAUUUUAGCAUGGAGAUGGAGUUUAAUCAAAUAAGCAAUGAUAAAGGGACCAAGAGUGAGGAGGUGGCUGUUAGAGUAAUCAGGGUGGACUUCUCAGAGGCAGUGACCCGAAUGAACAGUGGGAAUGGCAACAAGCCAUGCAAGAGUCUGGGCAGGAAGGUGUCACCUGCCUUCUCAUUUCUUCUGGUGCCAGUGCCUGUGCUUGCCCACCUUGUAGCCCUGGCACCCUGCACGCUGUAGGGGCACAGUCAGUGGAGCAGGUACUGGCUCUGCUGCAGGUCUCCCAGCCUCACCUCUGUGCUGGCGGCCCAUCCAUGAUGAUGUUGAUCCACAGGAUCUGCAUGGCGUUGAGGGGACUGGGCAGGUUGCACACAGUGGACAGUGUGAUAAGGCUCAGGGCAGAGAUGCUCCUGCGGGACAUGUGUCGGACACAAGGUGCUGUCAACAGAGUUGGUGGGUGCAGCCCUCGAUGGCAUUCAGGGUGCUGGCCUCUACUUACGUGCUCAGCUGAAAUCGGACAAAGUUUUUGAUGUUAUGGAAAAUCCCCUUGCCUUCCUCCACCGCAUUCCUGUAGGAGUGGAGAAAAAUGUUUAUUCUCAAAGAGGCCCACCAGUGAGAGAUUCGGCCAGAGCCAUCACCCAAAGGUGACAUGCUGCUUGGACCCCUUUCCCACCCCACAGCUGUCAGGGACACGCCAGCAGCCACCAGGGGACAGUCUCUGAGCACACAAGCACAGACUGUGGGUCACUCUAGGGAGCCUCAUCCUCGCCAGGGCCCCUGAAGUGUCUGAAGCUCUUGGUGAGUCACCCCCAGCCCAACAGGAUGGAAGGUCAGCUCUGGGGCCAGGGUAAGAAGGGACAGAAUCCAGAGGUGGAGACACCUUGACCGCUCUCUGAAGGUGCUCUGGAAAAGUCCUUUGAAUUUGAUCUCAUGUCACUAAUAUAUAGUAGGGAACGGUCUAAUCCCCCAGUUUUUUUUUUAAUUUAUACAAGAACCGGGGUACAGGGCAGAUGCACAGGAGGGUGAGAGGAUUCACCAGAGCCAGAGCGGGGAACAGAACAGGUAGACUGAUGAAAUACACUGCUGAAGGGAGCAGCGGCCGGCCGGGGAUCGAACCAGCGCUGCAGAGACUGUGGAUAGCUUCACAGCGCAGUGCUCAACUGCCUGUGCCAGCAGGGAAGGCCCAAAUCCCCCAGUUUUUUUAAACUACAUUUGCAAAAGAAUGAAAACCACAGAGCUAUAUAUUAACUACCUUUUAUUUUUUUAACAGAGGAAGCCUUAUUUAUCUGUAAAGAUUCCUUUCUAAAGCCAUUCGUCAGGUUUUUGCUAUUUCUUCCCUCCCACUUUACUGCUAUUCCCUUGAGUAAAUUCUAAGUUAAUUAGAAUGAAUUCGAGAAUUAGAUUUAGAGAGGUCAGCUUAAGAGGAACACAUAGCUUUCAGUGACCUCAGAAUCUAGAAGUCUCGUCAGCGUGAGAUGGGCUGCCCCAUCCAGCACUCAGGCACCAGUGGUGACCUCUGAGGCUGAGUACACUCACCUUUAACUGGCUAUCUCACAGGAAGCAUUUCUGUGUCAUGAAACUUUUUAUGACGUGAUUUUUAGCAGCCACGCUUGCAAGGCCAGGAUGCCCUUCCUCACAGGCGGCCCAGGCUUGUCUGUCAGCGCCUGAACUGCCCCCUCAGGCUGCAGGUGAGGGCUCUGCAAUGCUUAUCCCUCCCAGGCCCCCACAUGCUGUCUGGGGGUUAAUUGGCCCCCAUGACCCUGCUUUAUGGGAUGCGUGGGUCACGAAACACCUGGAAACCUUUCUCAGCAUGAUCCCCUGUUUCUCCACAACAGCUGACCCAGCAGGAAGGUGGUUACUCCUGGUUGUUCUUGCACUAAAAAAAAUACCUAAAGAGGAACUUACAUGAUGGCUGAGAAGUCGUCAUCCACCAGGAUCAUGUUGGCGGCCUCCUUGCUGACGUCGGUGCCCAUCUGCCCCAUGGCGAUCCCGAUGUCUGCUGACUUGAGGGCAACUGCGUCGUUCACUCCAUCCCCCGUCAUGGCCACAAUCGCCCCCGACUCCUGCAAAGCCUAUGGAAAGAGGAAGUGAGUGCAGUGCUGCUGUCGGAGGACCUUCCUUCUAGAUCCUCCUUCCUGCCUCAGGGGUGCCUCUCACACUGUGGGCAGAGGGCAGACUGUGCCCUGAGACACCAGCGUUGGUGGGCCCAGUGAAACCCAGCUCUGCCCGUGCUGGCUGUGGGGACUGGGCAAGACCCAUCCGUAGCCCUCAACCUCGGCCUCUCCAUGUGUAAAGUGAGGUGACGGCCCCUCAGGACUCUGGAGGAGAUGGAGUUGGGCAACUGGUAAAGGCCUCAUUGCCAUUAUUAGUGAUAAUCAGCAUUUUGUCCCCUGAAACCACAAGGUCCCCCGAGUGUUAAUAUUUUCUUUGCAGAAUAACUGCACAGAAGUUUACUCUGUGGAAUGAAAAAAAGCCCCUAAAUAAAAGCCCCUAGAUAACACAAAAAGCAACCAUGAGUAAAGAUAAAGAACACAUUUUCAACAUCUGCAUGUAUGGAGAGACCAGGAUCCUGCAUUCCAGAGAGUUCCUCCCUGGGGCUGCAUAAUGGGGAAACCACAGCAGCUCUUUGCUGGGCAUCUGCUAUGUGCCUGGUGGUGU